rnacentral:rRNA from 1 species
UACGUAGGGACCAAGCGUUGUUCGGAUUUACUGGGCGUAAAGGGCGCGUAGGCGGCCACCGCAAGUCGACUGUGAAAUCUCCGGGCUUAACCCGGAAAGGUCAGCCGAUACUGCGGGGCUAGAGUGCAGAAGGGGCAACUGGAAUUCUCGGUGUGGCGGUGAAAUGCGUAGAUAUCGAGAGGAACACCUGCGGCGAAGGCGGGUUGCUGGGCUGACACUGACGCUGAUGCGCGAAAGCUAGGGGAGCGAACGGG